rnacentral:rRNA from 1 species
GAUGAACGCUAGCGGCAGGCUUAACACAUGCAAGUCGAGGGGUAACAUUGAGUGCUUGCACUCAGAUGACGACCGGCGCACGGGUGCGUAACGCGUAUAGAAUCUACCUUAUACUGGAGAAUAGCCUUUGGAAACGAAGAUUAAUGCUCCAUAGUAAGUAGUAAUGGCAUCAUUAUUACUUUAAAGCUCCGGUGGUAUAAGAUGACUAUGCGUUCUAUUAGUUAGUUGGUAAGGUAACGGCUUACCAAGACAUCGAUAGAUAGGGGUCCUGAGAGGGAGAUCCCCCACACUGGUACUGAGACACGGACCAGACUCCUACGGGAGGCAGCAGUGAGGAAUAUUGGACAAUGGAGGCAACUCUGAUCCAGCCAUGCCGCGUGCAGGAAGACUGCCCUAUGGGUUGUAAACUGCUUUUAUAUGGGAAGAAUAAGGAUCUCGUGAGGUCUGAUGACGGUACCAUAAGAAUAAGCACCGGCUAACUCCG